AGUGAACGCUGGCGGUAGGCCUAACACAUGCAAGUCGAACGGCAGCACAGUAAGAGCUUGCUCUUACGGGUGGCGAGUGGCGGACGGGUGAGGAAUACAUCGGAAUCUACUUUUUCGUGGGGGAUAACGUAGGGAAACUUACGCUAAUACCGCAUACGACCUACGGGUGAAAGCAGGGGAUCUUCGGACCUUGCGCGAUUGAAUGAGCCGAUGUCGGAUUGGCUAGUUGGCGGGGUAAAGGCCCACCAAGGCGACGAUCCGUAGCUGGUCUGAGAGGAUGAUCAGCCACACUGGAACUGAGACACGGUACAGACUCCUACGGGAGGCAGCAGUGGGGAAUAUUGGACAAUGGGCGCAAGCCUGAUCCAGCCAUACCGCGUGGGUGAAGAAGGCCUUCGGGUUGUAAAGCCCUUUUGUUGGGAAAGAAAAGCAGCAGGUUAAUACCCCGCUGUUCUGACGGUACCCAAAGAAUAAGCACCGGCUAACUUCGUG
rnacentral:rRNA from 1 species